rnacentral:rRNA from 1 species
GACGAACGCUGGCGGCGUGCCUAAUACAUGCAAGUAGAACGCUGAAGAGAGGAGCUUGCUCGUCUUGGAUGAGUUGCUAACGGGUGAGUAACGCGUGGGUAACCUUCCUGGUAGUGGGGGAAAACUAUGGGAAACGAUAGCUAAUACCGCAUAAAAUGGAUUAUCGCCUGAUAAUCCAUUAAAAAUUGCAAUUGCAUCACUACCAGAUGGACCUGCGUUUUAUUAGCUAGUUGGUGGGGUAACGGCUCACCAAGGCGACGAUACAUAUCCGACCUGAGAGGGUGAUAGGCCAAACUGGGACUGAGACACGGCACAAGCUGCUAAGGGAAGCAGCAGAAGGGAAUCUUCGGAAAUGGACGGAAGUCUGAGCGAGACAAGGCGCGUGGGGGAAGAAGGUUGUCGGAUCGUAAAGCUCUGUUGUAAGGGAAGAACGAGUGUGAAAGUGGAAAGUUCACACUGUGACGGUAUCUUAACAAAAAGAGACGGCUAACUCCGUG